UGGUAGAACCGGGGUAAGCGUGUAGGAGGAGGACCAGGCAAAUCCGGGCCUCAUAUACUCUGAGACGUGAUACCGAGCCGCUUCAGGCGAAGUCAUUAAUCCUAUGCUGCCUAGAAAAGCCCAGUAGCGAGUUGACAUGGUGCCCGUACCCCAAACCAACACAGGUGGACAGGUAGAGCAUACCAAGGCGAGUGGGAUAACUAUGGUUAAGGAACUCGGCAAAUUUCCUCCGUAACUUCGGGAUAAGGAGGACCCCAGUAGCGUGACGAGACUUGCUCUCCGAGCGUGAAGGGGUGGCACAAAAUUGAGGGAAGCGACUGUUUACCUAAAACACAGCAGCGUGCUAAGCCGUAAGGCGCUGUAUACGCUGUGACUCCUGCCCGGUGCUGGAAGGUUACGGGGAUGGGUUAGUCCUUUGGGACGAAGCUCUGAACCUAAGCCCCAGUAAACGGCGGCCGUAACUAUAACGGUCCUAAGGUAGCGAAAUUCCUUGUCGGGUAAGUUCCGACCUGCACGAAUGGAGUAACGACUUCCCUACUGUCUCAACCAUAGACCCAGCGAAAUUGAAGUACGAGUAAAGAUGCUCGUUAGCUGCAGAAGGACGGAAAGACCCCGUGGACCUUUACUAUAACUUGAUGUUGUGUUUUGUCAUAUGUUGUGUAGGAUAGGUGGGAGACAAGGAAGCAUGGACGCUAGUCUGUGUGGAGUCAUCGUUGAAAUACCACCCUGCAUAUGGUGAGGCUCUAACCUAGACCCGUUAUCCGGGUUGGGGACAGCGUCAGGCGGGUAGUCUAACUGGGGCGGUUGCCUCCUAAAGAGUAACGGAGGCGCCCAAAGGUUCCCACAGCCUGGUUGGCAAUCAGGCGUCGAGUGCAAUGGCAAAAGGGAGCUUGACUGCGAGACCUACAAGUCGAGCAGGAGCGAAAGCUGGGCAUAGUGAUCCGGCGGUUGCGUGUGGAAGCGCCGUCGUUCAACGGAUAAAAGGUACCCCGGGGAUAACAUGCUAAUCUUGCCCAAGCGUCCAUAGCGACGGCAAGGUUUGGCACCUCGAUGUCGGCUCAUCGCAUCCUGGGGCUGAAGCAGGUCCCAAGGGUUGGGCUGUUCGCCCAUUAAAGCGGUACGCGAGCUGGGUUCAGAACGUCGUGAGACAGUUCGGUCCCUAUCCUCUGUAGCCGUAGGUGAAUUGAGGAAAGCUGUCCCUGGUACGAGAGGACCGGGACGGACGCAGCUCUCGUGUGCCAGUUGUCCUGCCAAGGGCAUGGCUGGUUAGCGACCUGCGGAAAGGAUAACCGCUGAAAGCAUCUAAGCGGGAAGCCUCUUCCAAGAUGAAUUCACCCACAGGGUUAACCUGGUAAGGCCCGUGGUAGACCACCACGUUGAUAGGCCGGAAGUGUAAGCGUGGCAACACGUUCAGCUGACCGGUACUAAUCGGCCGAGGGCUUGAAUU
rnacentral:rRNA from 1 species